GAAGUCAGUCAGACAGCCGCCGGGCGCUUCAUGCGCCGGGAGGAAAGUCCGGGCUCCGCAGAGCAGGAUGCCGGCUAACGGCCGGGCGCUAUAAGCCGCAAGGCGAAGGCGACGGAAAGUGCAACAGAGAACAGACCGCCGAUGGCCCUCCCGGAAACGGGCGGGAUCAGGUAAGGGUGAAACGGCGAGGUAAGAGCUCACCGCGGACGCGGCAACGCGGACGGCACGGUAAACCCCAUCCGGAGCAAGGCCGAAUAGGGAAGCAAUGACGUUGCUCGCGUCGCUUCCGGGUAGGCUGCUUGAGCGUGCCGGCAACGGUACGCCUAGAGGAAUGGCUGUCCACGACAGAACCCGGCUUAUCGACGGGCUUCCCCA
rnacentral:RNase_P_RNA from 1 species